AUGUAUGAGAGAGGGCGUGUGUGUGUGUGUGUGUGUGUGUGUGUGUGUGUAGAGGUUGGGGAUCAUCCACAGAUCAGAGCACGGGGGCAGAGAACUUCUAAAGGGUUGGGCCCCCCCAUGGGUCACACCCUUCACCCUGGAGCCUGGAGGGCCUGUCUCUUGGACCCACCACCAGCUUCAACACCUCGAGCAGCCAGAGCCGUGCCCGUCACUGACCGGAGGAAGGUGGAAGAAGACACGGGAACAGGUGGGCCCUGUGGGAGCAGGAUGUGCAGAGGAACAAUGAGGCCUGAGCUGAACCCAGCCCUGCCGGGGCGAGCUGAGCCACCAGCGGGACAGCAGUCUGACUGA
rnacentral:lncRNA from 1 species